rnacentral:tRNA from 1 species
GCCCGGGUGGCGGAAUGGUAGACGCAGCGGACUUAAAAUCCGUUGGCCUUUGGCCGUGAGGGUUCGAGUCCCUCCCUGGGCACCA